rnacentral:rRNA from 1 species
UACAGAGGUCCCAAGCGUUGUUCGGAUUUACUGGGCGUAAAGGGUGCGUAGGCGGUUGGGUAAGUCUGACGUGAAAUCUCCGGGCCUAACCCGGAAACUGCGUUGGAUACUAUUUGACUAGAGGAAUGGAGGGGAGACUGGAGUACUUGGUGUAGCAGUGAACUGCGUAGAUAUCAAGUGGAACACCAGUGGCGAAUGCGAGUCUCUGGCCAUUUCCUGACGCUGAGGCACGAAAGCCAGGGGAGCAAACGGU